GAUCGUGUGGACAUAGUGGUUCGAGCAUUGGACUAUGACUCUGGAGACCAGGGUUCGAAUCCUGGCUCAGCCA